rnacentral:rRNA from 1 species
AUACGGAGGGCGCAAGCGUUGUUCGGAAUCAUUGGGCGUAAAGCGCGUGUAGGCGGCUUGGCAAGUCGGACGUGAAAGCCCGGGGCUCAACCCCGGAACGGCGCCCGAAACUGCUUGGCUAGAGUCCCGGAGAGGAGGGCGGAAUUCCCGGAGUAGAGGUGAAAUUCGUAGAUAUCGGGAGGAACACCAGCGGCGAAGGCGGCCCUCUGGACGGUGACUGACGCUGAGACGCGAAAGCGUGGGGAGCAAACAGGAUUAGAAACCCCAGUAGUCC